rnacentral:lncRNA from 1 species
ACCAGCUGCAACCACAAUGGAUCGGCCCUUCUGAGGAAAUCUACUCUCAGGCAAGAAACUAAAACUCACCGGAUCAUUUCAUCUGAACAACAAUAUUCCAGACGACUCAUCAAUCAUGAUUGCUUCCUUACCUCCAUGAAUUCCUGCUUUCCCACCUCCCUGCUUCCCUGCUAUAUACACCCCCCGAUUUUAGUCGGUCAGGGAGAUGGCUUUGAGACCUUAUCUCCCAUUCUCCUUGGCUGCAGCACCUGAUUAAAGCCCGCUUCCCUGUCAGUACUCAUUGCCUCAGUGAUUGGGAUUCCGUCCGUGCAGCAAGCAACAAGACCUAGACUGAACCCCUGGCAUUUUGGUAACAUCGAGACAGAGCCUCUAUUAAAUGGAGCUCCUGAGUAACUAGGAUGGACACAGUGCCCCUGAUGAACCACAAUGAACAUGAAGCAUGAGUUACAAAUAAGCAGCAUUGUUUCAAGUCACCAAGAUGUUAAUGUAGCUUAUUAUUGUAGCAUAAGCUAAUCUAUGUUUACUGAUACAACAUCUCAAUUUGUUUCUUUCUCUGAAGCUCAAGUUCUACUUCUCCUGCUGCCGUCAACAUUUCUAUAUGAUUUUACUUAUAGAAGUACAAGCUUAACAUAUCUAUUUCUAUAUUAAUUAUUUU